UCAGAUAUGGUGUAACGGAACACAACCUCUUAUUCUGGAAAUUUCGUGACAAGGUAGAAUUAAGAGGCAGUUCAGGGUUCGAAUCCUUGUGUCUGAA